rnacentral:rRNA from 1 species
UACGUAGGUGGCGAGCGUUGUCCGGAAUUACUGGGUGUAAAGGGCGCGUAGACGGGUGCGUAAGUCAGAUGUGAAAUACCGGGGCUCAACUCCGGGGCUGCAUUUGAAACUAUGUAUCUUGAGUGCAGGAGAGGUAAGUGGAAUUCCUAGUGUAGCGGUGAAAUGCGUAGAUAUUAGGAGGAACACCAGUGGCGAAGGCGACUUACUGGACUGUAACUGACGUUGAGGCGCGAAAGCGUGGGUAGCAAAC